GCAUCGCCCUCAUCCCCGAACCCCCUUUUAAAUCCUCACCGGGGCUCGUCCCGGCCUCAUACAAGUCAGUGCUGGACUCUUGCUCAGCACCGUGUGGGGAUCUCGCGCUCGCCCCAGGGUUUUUAGAGCCGGCCUGUGAGGAGAAGCCCCCCGGGAGAGCAGAGCCCGCGGGAGGAGCCGACAUCCUCGCCCUGACCGAGGGAGAAGAGUCCUUUCCCUGCUCCAGCCUGGGCUCCUCUCUCCAUGGACUGCACUUCCCUGCCAGGACCCUGCUCCAGGUGGGGUGCCCACGGAGUCGCAGCUUCCUUUGGGCAUCCCCCUGAUCCAGGGGGCUCCUCCAGGGGCUGCAGGUGGAUCUCUGCUCCUCCAGGGGCUGCAGGUGGGUCUCUGCUCUACCAUGGACCUCCAGGGGCUGCAGAUGGAUCUUUGCUCCUCCAGGGCCCGCAGAAGGAUCUCUGCUCCCUUUUGACCUCCAAGGGCUGCAGGUGGAUCUCUGCUCCUCCAGGGGCUG